rnacentral:rRNA from 1 species
AUUGAACGCUGGCGGCAGGCCUAACACAUGCAAGUCGAGCGGAUGACGGGAGCUUGCUCCUUGAUUCAGCGGCGGACGGGUGAGUAAUGCCUAGGAAUCUGCCUGGUAGUGGGGGACAACGUUUCGAAAGGAACGCUAAUACCGCAUACGUCCUACGGGAGAAAGCAGGGGACCUUCGGGCCUUGCGCUAUCAGAUGAGCCUAGGUCGGAUUAGCUAGUUGGUGGGGCAAAGGCUCACCAAGGCGACGAUCCGUAACUGGUCUGAGAGGAUGAUCAGUCACACUGGAACUGAGACACGGUCCAGACUCCUACGGGAGGCAGCAGUGGGGAAUAUUGGACAAUGGGCGAAAGCCUGAUCUAGCCAUGCCGCGUGUGUGAAGAAGGUCUUCGGAUUGUAAAGCACUCUAAGUCGGGAGGAAGGGCUGCAGGUUAAUACCUUGCAGCCUUGACGUUAUCGACAGAAUAAGCACCGGCUAACUCCGUGCCAGCAGCCGCCGUAAAAC